rnacentral:rRNA from 1 species
GGAAUUGUUCGCAAUGGGCGCAAGCCUGACGACGCAACGCCGCGUGGAGGAUGAAGGUCUUCGGAUUGUAAACUCCUGUUGACCGGGAAGAAUGGGCACCGCCCUAACACGUCGGAGCAAUGACGGUACCGGGUGAGGAAGCCACGGCUAAGUCUGUGCCAGCAGCCGCGGUAAUACCGAGGUGGCAAGCGUUGUUCGGAAUUACUGGGCGUAAAGGGCGCGUAGGCGGCCUUCUAAGUCAGACGUGAAAUCCCCAGGCUUAACUUGGGAACUGCGUCUGAUACUGGAAGGCUUGAGUGCGGGAGAGGGAUGUGGAAUUCCAGGUGUAGCGGUGAAAUGCGUAGAUAUCUGGAGGAACACCGGUGGCGAAGGCGGCAUCCUGGACCGACACUGACGCUGAGGCGCGAAAGCCAGGGGAGCAAAC